GGGUUGUGAGGUUAAGCGACUAAGCGUACACGGUGGAUGCCCUGGCAGUCAGAGGCGAUGAAGGACGUGCUAAUCUGCGAUAAGCGUCGGUAAGGUGAUAUGAACCGUUAUAACCGGCGAUUUCCGAAUGGGGAAACCCAGUGUGAUUCGUCACACUAUCAUUAACUGAAUCCAUAGGUUAAUGAGGCGAACCGGGGGAACUGAAACAUCUAAGUACCCCGAGGAAAAGAAAUCAACCGAGAUUCCCCCAGUAGCGGCGAGCGAACGGGGAGCAGCCCAGAGCCUGAAUCAGUGUGUGUGUUAGUGGAAGCGUCUGGAAAGGCGCGCGAUACAGGGUGACAGCCCCGUACACAAAAAUGCACAUAUUGUGAGCUCGAUGAGUAGGGCGGGACACGUGGUAUCCUGUCUGAAUAUGGGGG
rnacentral:rRNA from 1 species